GCAAAAUCAUUUGCCUUCUAAUUAAAGGCCCGUAUGAACGGACACACGAAAAAUAGACUGUCUCAAUCUUACCAAUAAAAAUUAACCUUUAGGUGCAAAGGCCUAAAUAAAUUUAAAGGACAAGAAGACCCUAUCAAGCUUAAUUACGCCCAUUACUGACAAACAAACAUAAUGAGCCCGUUUUUUAGUUGGGGCGACUGAGGAACAAAAUCAACUUCCCCGUUCCAACACGAACAAAAAUUCAAAUUAACUGACCCCUAUACGAUCAUCUGAAAAGCUACUGUAGGGAUAACAGGCUAAUUUUCUCCCAGAGCCCAAAUCGAAGAGAAAGU
rnacentral:rRNA from 1 species